rnacentral:lncRNA from 10 species
UCCAAGCCCCUUACAGGCUCCCUGCUGAGCCCUGUAAACAGUUGCGACUCGGCAGGGAGCCUGUAAGCACCUGGGACCCUCAGAAUAUCUGUGUGUCAGCGUACUUUAUUCACCGGUCAUUGGGUCAGGGGUCUGCAAGGGACAGACUCCCCACAGCUGGUGACCCCUCGAGAGGAGCCCUGCCCCCAGCUGGUGCCCCAUGUGAGGCGCUGUGUGAGGAACUGUGUGAGGAAUGCUGUGAAGGAAACGCGACGAACCGCCCGAAAACGAAGACAGAACAGCAUGUGGAGACUCACACAGUGAAAUUUUCCUCCAAGAAGUACUGCAUGAACAUACCAGGAAAACCAAAAGAAUUCACAGGACCUUUGAAAGAAGUGGCUUGCCGCUGCAAACUCCAUGAGACAGCUGAAAAACUG